AAUAGAGUGGUACCUCUUUCCAACGUACAUACGCACAGGCAUAUUGUGAUUGGUCGUGAUGUUAAAGUGUAACAAUGGAGAGUGAAAGCUUCUUGCAUGUAACAUACAACGAGGCUAUACGACGGGCUAUACUGUAACGCUCCGAGCGCCUAAUUCCGCUGAAUACUUGAAAAUUCCACUCACCCACGUAAUGAAGUAGUUUUAAGAAAAAUUAUGUAUUACUAUUUUUAAUGUAGUAUACUUAACUCCAUACACAUAAUGAAGAAAAUGUAUUUUCACAGCGAAGAUUCCGCUGCUCGCUUCUCGCUUUCCGCUGCUUUCUGUCUGAACGAGCCCUAAAACCGUAGCGUUGUGCAUCUCCCUAGUCAUCUCUGCAUUGGUAAUCUCCGUACUCAUCUCUGUUUGGACUGUUAUUGGUGGAAGCUUGAAUUUCGUAUACAACUCUUAUAAAACUGGAAAAACAAGGUUCUGGGAAGGUUCCUGAAAAGUGAAAAUAAAUGAAAUUGAUGUAAAUUUUAUAGAUCAAUUGUUUUCGGGUUUUCAAACAUGUGUGUUAACAAAUUUUGUAGUAUAAUUUUGAUAGAUUGAUGGUACAAUCAUUAUUUACAUCUAAAAUACUCGUUUCAAUGAUUAUUAACAGUGGAUUGAUGUCAUCUGUAUGAGUGUGGUAUGUACAUAUUUAGGAAAAAUUUGCUAUUUUACGUUUAGUUUGUGUGUUAAGAUAUACAAAAUAUAAUUUGAACAACUCAUUAUUGUACUUAUAUUUUUUCAAUAAUAUGACAUCCACCAGUAUCAGAGUGCAACUUGAAUCUUAAGUCAUUUAUGAUGUUAUGAUUACAUUUAACCUAUAUUCAGAAACAAGUUAUUUUUUUAUCAACUUAAGUCAGCCUUUAAGAGCACCACAGCAUGAAUGUAGUAAAAUAAUUACUUUUUUUCUGAAUGCAAGGGUUAACGUUAGAAUGAAAUAUAAUUCCAUGUUUUUUUUUUUUUUCAUAUUAGCUAGAUCUUUAUUGAAAUCAAAAGCAUAAGCUACCUUUCAGUAUUAACUGUUUGAGUUUCAAGCAGGGCGAUCAUGCUGUUUAGAUUUCAUGUUAAAAAAUCCCAGUAUAUUUGAAUAUUAUGGAUUAAAACAAGUGCUAUUGCGCUGUUUGGCAUUUUUUGACAAUGUUUUAAUUCAAUGACUCCUGGGAUUCAAAUGGUUAACAUUUAAUGUUGUGAAUAUCAUUCUUAAUUUUUAUACAUUUUUUAGGAUUGCAAUGAUCAUUAGCAUAGUUACUUAUUAGAAUUUAUUCUUAAGCUUAUUAUAAACUAUUUUUAUGAAAAGAUAGAUAUAGGUCAAUUUGAACAUUUUCUGUAAAGGUUUUAUGUUUUGUACUUGCACCCUACUUUUUAAACCAUUUUUAAGAAAUAAUACUCUAACAAUGAGUUGCCAUAAUUUUAUUGAAUACUAACCAUUGAAUGGUUGUUACGUCGAUUUCAAUUAAAAGUUGUCUUAAUCCUGUCAGCCCUAUGAACUCAUAUAUGUGGUCUGAGAAAUAGUUCUUCAUCGUUGAUAUACCCAUAUCUACAUUAUGAGAAAAUAGUUCCUCAUCACCUGUGAACUUGUACUUUUACUUUGCCAAGCCUGUACCUUUGACAUACACCUUUAUCAGCCACACUGCAAAUAUAAUUAAUAUACCCAUUUACAAAAAUUUCAUGCACUGAAACUUCAAGCUUAUUCAGGCACCCACGAACUAUAUUGUAAAAAGUGGACGGGCCACAGAUAAAGAUUUUCUUUACACAUUUCUGGGUUGAAAGGGUUAAAAGGGAAAUUGUGAAUAUAGGACAAUGUAUAAAUAAGGUUUGUAAAGAGUUGUAUCAACUACAGGUUUUGAAAGAUUGUAAUUAUUUUUACAAAUGAUACAGUUGAGAUUUAUAUUAUUAUAUUAUAUAAAUUACAAUUGAUUUAAAUUAUUUUCAACAAUAGUCAGUAUAAUUAAUAUAAUUAUUAUAUAAUAAUAAUAAUAAUAAUAAUAUAUUUUAUUUCAUAAAAGUUUGGUAUACAGCUCUUUCCAUACAGAAAAUUUUAACAGUUAUGCUGUACAUAGGUGUGUAUUUACUAAGGGGAUGUGUUUGAAAUUGCUUUUUAGUCCCAUUUUGUCUUAGAAUUACUAUCUGUAUCUCUUUUUAAUUGUACAAUUUUUUUUUAAUAUCCUAAAUUUGCAAGUCACUAUAGUUACACUGGCCCAACAAAAACAGUUUCAUGUAGAAAAACUUGCGAAGUACAGGAUUGCUGUGCAUAACCCGUAACAAAAAAGAUUGAAAUCACAUUAUAAUAGUACUUAAUAUGAAAUCACCUAAGGCGUUAUUAAUUAUUAAUUGACUACUAAAUCAUAAUUAGAUAUAAGCAACAGUAAUAACACAAAAGGGUAAUGAAGAUGUUAUAGAAAAUUUUGAAUAUACAAUUAAAAUAAUGAACUAUUCCUAGAUCAUAUAGUAAGCAAAUUUGUAGUGACUUAUGUACUUAGCAUUAUAAUGUAAUUUCAAUAUUUUUUAUUAGAAGAAUUCGCAGCAACGUUAUAUUAGAGAAAUUCUAGGCACACGAAAUUUGUAUUGAUGUCAAGUGAGCGUGAAUUCUUUGUAGUUAUACGUCUUUACAGAUUUUAAAUGUAAAUUUAUUAUGACGUCGGUCAUCAAAAAACUAUAUUGCGUUGCCGGAAGUGUUGAAGGCCAUGUAAUAUAUAAUUUCAUUUUCUUUAGAAGUGCAUAAACGUAUAUCUGAAUUUUUAACCGAAAUAUGGUAUUCAAUGCAAAGUGCAUUUCAGUUGAAAGGACUAUGUAAUUAAUCCAUAAUUAUAUAAAGCGAAGAAACAAUUAGGUAUUAUAAAGAAAUUUACUUGUAAAGUAUACUGAUAAUUUCAUGUAAUAUUCCAAGUCAAAAUGUCAUCCAGCUAUGUUAUUUGAAAUAGUGAACACGGCUUUAAUAAAAUAAAACCAAGAUAAAA